CCUAUAUCCAUGCCUGUUACCUGAUAAAACUUGCGUACAAUGUUGCGGCUAAUGCAAGAAGAACUGCUCUACUCACACUCUGAAGUGUUGGUGCACUUGAAAACUUGAAUCUCUGAGCCUGGUCCUUCUGUAAGGAUGAUAAUAGGCCACAAUAUAUGGCAUUAUCAGGCAAAGAAACCUCAGAUGUGUCGAUCUCUGGAUUUACAACACUCAUAUAAACCUCCUGGCCCAGAUACCAUGAGUUGAGAUUUUCUGCUCG
rnacentral:misc_RNA from 1 species